GCCAGCGUAGCUUAGCGGUAGAGCGGCUGACUUGUAAUCAGCAGGUCGAGGGUUCAAAUCCCUCCGCUGGCU
rnacentral:tRNA from 1 species